rnacentral:rRNA from 1 species
UACGGAGGGUGCGAGCGUUGUCCGGAAUCACUGGGCGUAAAGGGCGCGUAGGUGGUCACCUAAGCGUGUGGUGAAAGCCCGGGGCUCAACCUCGGGUCGGCCAUGCGAACUGGGUCACUGGAGCACUGUAGAGGCAGGUGGAAUUCCGGGUGUAGCGGUGGAAUGCGUAGAGAUCCGGAGGAACACCAGCGGCGAAGGCGGCAUCCUGGACUGGUCCUGACACUCAGGAGCGAAAGCGUGGGGAGCGAGCCGG